CUUAACAAAACACAAACACUAGAAAAUAAGAGAUACGAAGAACAGAGGACUUGGAUAUAAACUGGGCACAGGAGUAAAUAUUCAACUAAAGAACAUACAGAGAACACAAUAACACAAAAGGCAAGAAUCGAACUGGGCACAUAAAUGCAAGGUUAGUAUGCUUGUGCCAUUAUCACAGCAAGCAAUGCAAUCGGCCCGCUCUUCAUGGAUGUGCCGAUUAUGGGGAAGACACAGAAACACAGAAUUCUGAAGAAAGCAAGGACCAACAUUCUGCCAGCAUCCCUACCCUGCCCCCAUCUAUGUCCAAAAGUUUCAUAUAUUAAACAUAUUAAUCAUUGCCAAAACCCGAAUACAGUAAGUAUGAUAAUAGACCAAUAAUGUUAAUUAGAAUGUAUUUUAAUGUGUGUAAUAAUGAAUAUGCAUAAUGUAUAUUAACUGUACAAAUUAUGUACCUGUGAAUCAUGAUCAAAUUUAUUGUACUUGUGGGUAAUGAGAAAAACAAGUUAUAAUAAAAAAGUAUGCUUUUCUUGGUAGAUAAAAAUACUAAAUCACUUUCAGUAAUACUUCUUUAAUACACCACCAAGUUCUCCAUCCAUCCAUCCAUCCAUCCAUCCAUCUAUCCAGGGGUUAUCCUGGACAGGAUACCAACCCUUUAUAAUAUUUUACUUCCUACAUGAAAUCAUGUCAAUAUUAUUAAUUAAAUGCCCCGUAGAACUGUAAUGUUGUGAAAGAGCUAGUUAGAACUUAAAUAUACAUUUUAAAAACACGCAUGCUUAAUAUACAAUUACAACAUAAGUAUCCCCUGCUUUAUGGAAGUGGAGUGUUUCUAUGAAACCUUUUAUAAGCUGAAAAGGCAUAACGCAAAGAAGCAAUUACCAUUAAUUUACAUGGGAACAAUUUUCGAGCAUUCCAAGACUGAAAAAAUACCCUAUCAAAUUAUACCAAAUUACACACAAAAAUUUAAAGAACACCAACCUUAAGUAAAAGCAGGAAUUAGUUGAUAAAUACACAGACUAUAUAAAGUAUAAAUAAUGUAUGCAUAGUAUAGUUUCACCUACAGACAAGGGUGUUGCUAGAAAUUUUGGGUCCCAUGAAAGUGUAUCAUUUUUGACCCUCAACUCAGAACAAUCCAAGAUUGCAUGAAAUCUUUAAUAAAUUGCCUUACCCCCCAUUUUACAGCGCCCCGGCUUAUAGAAUCAAUGUGUUGCUUAAGGACAGGGAUAUGUUCUGAAAAAUGCAUCAUUAGGCGAUUACGCCAUUGUGAGUACUUCUUGGAUUGUAUUUACACAAACUUAUGGCAUAGCCUAAAUAACAAAUCAAAAGUUUGGUAGAAUAAAUACAAUAACCAGUAACAUAGUUGUUUAUUAUCAUUAACAAAAAUGAUGUAUUGUACAUUAUUCUGUGUGUUAUAUUUGUUUGCACCAGCAUCACCGCAAACAUGUGACCAAUGCUUUGCACUAUGACGUCACUAGGCAAUUGGAAUCUUUCACCUCCAUUAUAAUCUUAUGGGAUUACCAUUGUAUAUGCAGUCCACUGUGUUCUGAAAUGUCAUUAUAUAGUUCAUGACUAUAUAUCUAUUAAUUGGCUUGCUGAUCAACAAAUGCUAAACACUAUUUUCGCUUUUCUUGUUUUUUCGUAAUAGCAAAAAUCUUCUUUGGUUACUUUUGUAAAAACAAAGGGGCAUAAAGCAAGCUCUUGUAAAGUGGGCGAUACCUGUAUAUAAAUACAGCACUAUGCUAUUGUUAUUUAAAUGAGGCACUCUACCUGUAAAGUUGUAAUGUCAGGAUCGGUGUCUGUCUUGUCUCAUUCUGUCCUUCAUUUCCUUAAGUUCCCUGCUCUCCCCUGUUGACUAAAAUGUUUUGCUGUUCUUUCUAAUUAUUCCUAGUCUAACCCAUGUCUUGAUAUCCUCCCAAUGUCAAGGUCCUAAGUUGUAGUUCCAUGUUUGGCCAUCUGGGAGUCCUGUUAUGUAGCAUAAAAGGAUCCCCAGAUGGCCAAACAGCCAUCUACAACUGUUCCUUUAGUGUUACACCCAGGACUCUGUUUUUGUUAACUUUAUGUGUCCCUUGUUCCUUGUGUUUGACUCUGGUUUAGGUCCUUGCCCUUAGUGUCUUUGAAUCUGAAUAACCCUUCUUUGCUUGAGUUGAAUAUUAAGUGCGGUGGCGGGAUCGGCCCCUGUCUUUUGUCUGUUCCCUGCUUGGUCAGCAGGAGUCGCUGGCCAUCCUGAGUGUUUAUCUCCCGAUGUGUUCUCCUGUAGCUUGGGCCAUCCCUUUUGUUUUGUGUUCAAAGCUGGUUGUUUUUUGUAUAGCCUUGGUUAAUUACAGACUUGUCUUAUGGUUCUUUGUUUUUUCUCUCUGCUUGUAGUAAUCACCAGUUACCCUUGUGAUCUAGUAUCUUUUAAUAUUUGAUCCUUUUUCUGUUUGUUACCCUCACCUGUAACAUGAAUGUAAUGUAUGAAUUUAAGUUCCUGCCCUUACUUCAGUCUUUACUCGAUCAUUGUGAUGAAGCUUAUUAGCUUUAGUUUGCUGUGUUUGCUUCUGUUUGGAUGCAUAUGAUUCUUUGUAUUUUGAUUCCUGGUUUGCUGUGUUUGUUCCUGUGCUGCUCCCUAGUUUAGUUUUUGUAUUCUACUUAGCCGCCUUUGUUAGACCCCUUGGGGGUUGUUUUAGUUAAUUGUUACUUUGAGUUCAGUACAGUCCCUUGUUUUGUAAAACCGUAACGUGGAUUGCCCUUUUUCCAUGCUCCGCCACCAUGCUGUGAAUAGCUUGCAACUGUGUCCUGUAGGUCCUUAUAUCUCUUGGUGCUUAGUUCUUGAAUAAUCGUUAAUAAGCAGAACCUGUCCCUCAUCUAGGCCUUGUUACAUGUGUAUAAACUUCCCUGUCGAAUCUUUCUUCCCUUGUCAGCUAUUGAAUGUGUUCAGUGUUGCAUG